UUCAGGGCUGAUGGAGACGAGAGAAUUGCUAGCAGAAAGAGCUGAGAACUUCCUGAUUUCCUUGAAGCAGAGGUUCUUAGGUUUAACUCAAUGUCACCUAGACACCAGCAAGAUCCAAUGCAAAAAGAAGCUAUGAAUGCGGACAUAAAGAGAGACAAAGACCAAAUCGCCUCAAACCUAAAUUAAAAAGCAUGCGUUUGCAGUAGUUCAAAUGCUCCAAAAGUGACACUCAAACUGACCGUCAACAUCCUAACCUUGCUGGGAGCAUUGUAGAAAUGAUUAGAGAAAUUCUGGCUGGGAAACACCUUUGUAGGUUGUUGUUUAGUGGUCUUUAGUGAUAGUUAGAAGCUAUUAUGUUUUUUUCUGCCAAAUGUUUACGUUUCUAGAUGUAAUCUUUGUUUUACACUCAUGUAGUGACCCUUAUAAUCAAUGUAUUUAAAUACUAUUUUGACAAUGAUCAUUUGAUAAUUGGCAAUGUCAACUAUAUAUGUAGGCUAUACUACAUGAGGUAGAUAGCAUAUUAAUGGUAUUAGUUGGUGUACCUAAAUUCCAUGUUGCUAUUGGAUAUUAAUGAAUAUACAAGUUUAGACGUGGCUUAUUAUUUGGUGCUUAUCAAUUAAGGUAAUGGUUUUGCAUAUAAUAAGCAUAUUUAUUUAACAUGUGAACUACAAAUCCUCGUAUGAUUUAAUUUCAUGUUGGCACUCAUCAUCUAUUAUUUUUCCAAUAUACUUUGGAUGGCUUAAUUUAGGUCAUAGUUCAGAAAGUCAGAAUGUACCUAUGAUUGUAUUUGUCAGUUAGUAGUUAGAUUUAGAAAGUUGUUCAUACCAAUAAUGUACCUAUCAUACUUCAAUUAAGAAUGUUGAUAAAAGUAAAUAUAUGAAAAUGUUAGUCUAUAGAGAAGAUUUAUUAUUUAAAACUACAAGCCACAUAGGAUCAUGUUGUUAGACUACGUUUUACAUGUUGGUAUAUGCUUAGAAUUUGAGUGCUGUUGCAAUCUCCGUUAUUCUGACUUGUAAUUUCUAUGGCAUUUGAUGGUGACUUAAUUCACUCAAGAAAUUGUGAUGUGAAUGAUUCUGUUCAGGCUUUAUGUAGAUUCUAACUUGUCCUUUCACAACUCUGUCCUAUUAUAUUUUAUUUUUAAGCCUACAUUUAUAGCUGGUCAUUUCUUAUCCUUUAAUUUAAAUAAUUCAUAAUUUUAAUAUGUUUGAAAAUCUUUAUUGUAUUAUACACUAAUUAAAUUCUGUCAAGUGUUCACUCUGCAGAUAGAGUGGUCAAGGUUUAGUUGCAUGACCUUUGAUUGUUACUAUUAACCACUGUGCAACUUUGCAGGUAAUAAAUAAUUACAUUGAAGUCUGUGUGUAUGAACUUUUUUGCACUAAGUACGCAGUGGUUAAUAGUCUUACUUUUCUAUUUUUGUCCAUGUAAUCCCUAUUGAUAUGACAUGUAGAUGUAAUAUGGUUUUCCCCUGCGAUAGUAUUAUACUUCAUGUUAGAAUGGUGGAGAAGUUGAAUUUUGGUUUCUGUGAAAGUACAUUCAUGUCGACAUGACAUGUAUACUAAUUAAGGGUUAGUACCUGCACAUCAUUUGUGCUGUCUGACAACUUUUUCUUUCACACUUAAGGACUUUUGAGGUAUCAAUGCAUUCUUGAUUUUGAAAAUGCUUUCCAUUCACUUGUAAAAUUUUAAUACCCAACAUAUUUGUGUAUUUUAAUUAUUCUGGAUUCUUAAUCUGCCUGUAAUAAAUAUUUAAUAUUUUAAUAUGACAAUGAAAUUGGUGUCAAGCUCUUCUACUCAUGCCCUUUUCUCAGUCAGGAAAGUAGUUGCUAGGUAACUUAUGUCAGAAUAGCAACUUCCUCAUAUAUCUUACUUUUUCUAACAUUUUGCGUGCAUAUAGUAAUUUAAAAAUAAUUUUCAUUCAUGUUUAUUUCAAUAACCUAAAUUAUUAACAUGCCUUAGUUAAUAUUUUAAUAUUUAAAUAGCAAUCUCACAUUGCUGUCAAGCUCUUUUACUUUAACUUCUUUAUCAUGGUCUGAAAAGUAUCUCCAUGCUAACAUAUGUCAAAACAGUAAUUUUUGUCUUUAUCUUAGUGUUUUCUCAAAUACUAUCAUAAUUGUCAUCUGUUGUCAUCAUUAAAUGAUUAUCUAUUAUAUAAUUAAGGGUUUCACUUCAUUCGUGUCCUUUUUGUGUGGCCUAACAUUUAUUUUACACAUUUCAGGAGGCUUAUCAAAUGUGCAUGCAUUUAAUAAUUUCAAAUUACCUUCAAUUCAGGUGUGUUCUGACCUUGCUGGAUUAUUCAGAUGGUUUUAUUAAUUAUUUAAUAAGUUAAAUAGCAGCAUCAAAUGGUUACCACCCUCUUCUAUUAUACCAAAUAUUUUUUCUUCGUCUGACAAGGACUUGCCUAUUAACUUAUUUUAAACAAUUAUUUCCUGACUUAUCUUAGUUAUUCUAAUACAACGAUGAAAAUUGUUUAGAAACCUUGCAGUUACUUUAUAUAGAGUUGCUUUUCUGUAGUCUUACAUAUUUUUUUCCCACUGUAAAUGAGUAGCAUUGAAUGUUCACACAUGUUUUUCUCAAAAUAAUUUCCAUUGACGUGUUACACUUGGCUACCUAAAAUCUUUAUGUAUUUAAUUGUUAUGAAUGAAUAAUAUGCCUUUCCAUUCACGUCUAAUUUGCCAUGCAUUUACUUUAUAUAUAGUUGCUUUUGUGUAGUCUGACAUCAUUCUUUUCACAGUAAAGGAAUUUUAUUACAUUUUAACACAUUUUACUUUUCAGAACACUUUCCAUUCAUGUGUAAAACUUAAAUACUGAAAAGCCACAAUAUUUUUUUAAUUCAUAUGAAUUCUUAAUCUGCCAAGCUCUUCUACUCAUGCUAUUUUUUCAGUCAAGAAAAAUUGUUGCCAGGUAACUUGUGUCAUGAUAGUGUUUUCCUUCUAUAUCUUAGUUAAUCUGACAGUAUGAUGCUAUUAACUUUUCUGUUACUUUUUCCCAUACUCUCAACAGCUAUAAGGAAAAAAUAGGUACUCUAGGCAUCCUGAAUCUUUCCUUGUUGGAAUUACAAAAAGCUAUCACUUUAUCAUGAUACAUUCCUGGUUAUAUGCUUGAGGCGUAAUUACUCAUGCUUUUACUUGUAUUCUUAUGACACUUUCCGUUCUCGUGCAUAUCUUAGGAACGAUGAAGAUUUUGUCUGAUAGUAAUAUAAAGUUUGCUUUUAACAUUGCAACAACUUUUUUCUGACAACUUUAAACUUGCUGUCACUUAAUUACAAUACUCUCUGUAAUUGUUGAACAGAAAAAAACUCUGGAAAAUUAUAUAGGUCAACAAUUAGGAACUAUCUUUCUUUAUUGGAAUUAUAACUUAUUACUUUACCAUGAUACUUUCCUGAUUGUAUGCACAAGUCAUUCUUUUUCUUGCUUUCCCUUUCAUUGUUAUAACUAUUUCCAUUUCCUUGUAUAUCUUAGGAAAGAGGAAAAUUUUUUUCAUUUAGCAAUUGAGGAUUCAUCAUGGAAUCUGAUACAUUAUCUCUGCCUGGAAUAAAAGGUGUGCUGCCACAAUGUUUUAUACAGUUAACUUUUUUUCUAAAAUGAUCAAUACUGCCAUAGCAGAACCUUUUCCCCCUGCUCUGUUAAUCAUGUAAAGUUGCAUUACCCAAACAUUUAAUUUUAAACAAAUUAUCCUUAAUUUUAAAUAACUUCUUAUUCCAGAUAUGUUAACAUCGAUUUUGAAACAGAUCUGAAUAGGACUUACCUAACAAGCUAACAAAGAACAAUAAUUUCCUUCCACACUAUCCUUUAUUAUCUAUAAUCACCUAACACUGACAACUUCCAUGAUCAUUUAUUAUCUAAUUAACUACAUCCCAAAAGUUAUUAUUGUUGUUAUCAUAAUUACUAUGACUUACACUGAUAAUAAGUUUGUCUUACAAGAAAAAUUAUGACUCUUUAUUAUCUCUAAUAUGCCAACGAACAAAAAUUCUAUAGCUAGAACUUAUAAAUAACUGCAUUCUUCAUCUAGCUAGAACACACAUCUCCUUUCUCAUCUACACUUGAAGUUUCAUCCAGUCUCGCAACAAUGGCUCAUGUUUCAUCCAUCAGUAAGCUGAACGAUAGUACUGAUAGAUGGAGGAUCUUAGUUCGUGUGGACAGAAAAUGGAAUGUAUAUCAUAAGACAUCACUAAACGAACUUUUCUGUGUUACAAUGGUGUUAGUUGACAAGGAGGUAUGAUUAUUCAAAAGUAUCAUUUCUUACAUUUAUUGUCAUUUAUUCAUCUCCUGUGAUGGUAAUCAUCUAAUAUUCUCAAGGCAAUAAAAUUCAAGCAAGUGUGCUACUAAAAAGCUUGCUUGAUCAGUACAGGCAAACUCCUGUUGAAGGAGAAACAUAUUUCAUUGCAAACUUUGUCCAUUCAUCAAAUACCAAUACAUUUAGAGCCACCACUUACCCUUUCAAGAUCAACUUCACACAAACAACAUACAUUUUGGGUCAAGUUGUAAACAUCCCUGUCCACUGUUAUUCAUUUCUCCCAUUAGCUGAUAUAAUCAAGGUGGAUGAGGGGAGUAGUAUACCACAUUUAUUUGGUGCGUAUCAUUAUUUAUCUGGAAAUACUUUUAUAUUAUUAGACUUAAUGUAAUUUUAUUAUAUUAUUCUGUUUUGAGUUACUCUUGAAUAUAAUUAUUUAUGGCUUAAAGUUCAUUUAAUUCUUGAUGUUUUCAUGCCCAUGCAGAAGUGUAUGGAUUUGUCAAAUCGAUGGGACAACUUGAGGAAUAUUGCCGUGACCAUGAAACAAAGCAUAAAUUGAGAAUGGUCAUUACCGAUAAUGAGUACAUCCUUACAACCCUUAAUCAUUCUAUUUUUUCCUUUGUUUUUUAAUUAUUGAAUUCAUGGUAUGCUUAAAUAAAUCAAAAUGAUUUAUUAUUGUUCUACCAUGUUUUAGUGACAAUGAUGUAAAGUGUAUUUUUUUUUGACGAGUGCUCAACCAAUGCUUUUAUGGGUCAGCUGCAAAUUACAGACAGCCUACUUGUGGUUAUUAUUAACUACUGUAGAGUUGGAUUUUCUGAGGAAGGGCAAGGGACCAAUCAUCCCCAAUCCUAACAGUAGGAACAUAACCCUUGACACCUGCUUCUACUCAAUCAUCUGGAUCAAGCAUGAUGCACAAUACACAGAAAAUAGAUAUUGCCCAGAUUCAGGACCAGGAAAUGAAUUCCAGUUUCUUAAUUCAUGGCACAAUUAUGAAGCUAGACACUCGUCAUGGAUGGAAUUACGAUGGAUGUACUAAAUGUGCUACAAAGACCAUUGAACAGAAUGAUUCUACUUAUUGUCCCCACCUGCAAAAAGAAACCUGAUUCAGUUGAACCAAAGUUGAAGAUUCACUAUACUAUGGAAGACGAGACAUGAAAGGUUACUGUUGUAUUUUGGGACAAGCUAGCUGUGCAACUUCUUCAUAAGACUGCAGCUGAAUUGAAGGCCAUUCUUCAUGAUGACAAAUGCACAUAUGACUUUCCUGAUGAAUUGGACAACCUGAUUGGCAAGAAAAUGAUUCUUAAGCUUAAGAUUAAUGCAUACAACAAGAAGUAUUCAAACUCAAGCAUAAGUGUCACUCAAUACACUGAAUGUGGUGAUUUAAUGAACGAAUUUAUAGAAGCUAAUGAUGAGGGCCACGUGGAGGAUAAUUCGAAAGAGGUUAGUAACCAACAUAUGGAUAAGCCUCAAAAUGAUGAGCCUAUUGAGAAGCACCAGCCAUCUGUUCAGCAGGUUCCUCAGAACUAUGCAGGACUAGAAGAGAUAACAAUUACUGAGUUAGUGAAGACACAACUUGAACCUGCAGUUGCACAAACCAAAGGUAAGAGGAAAUGCGCUGCAAAGAAGCAAGCAGUUGUGGAUGAUUCUGUCAAGACUUAACGACAAUGUGCAUUCAUUAGGACCAUAUACAAAAAGUGUCAAGAUAAUCAAGCAGGAGAAAAAUCUGUAGACCAAUAGGAGUCACGUAUUGUAGUAUUUUAAAUCUAAGUUUUAUGAGUGUUGUCUUAGUUAAGCAGUCCUUAGUGUUUCUUGAAUUUAUAGGUUUUUUUUUAUUGAUUAGUUGUUUGUGUGGCUUAACAUUUAGCUUUCUUUUGUUGCAAAUGCUAUGUUUGGGAAUGCUUAUAGCUAUUUCCAUAUGUUUAAGUUAUGUUGGUUAUUUAAGUUUAUCAUGUAUUUCGAGGCUUUAUUUCAGAAAUUCAUAAGUAGACUUUUUAAUGCUU